rnacentral:lncRNA from 1 species
GUUUCUUCCCGGCACAGAUGGAAGAUAUUCCUGGUGAGGCAUUCCCCAGGGCUCGGCAUGGCUGGCCGUGACAGGAAAAUUUCAGAGGUCUGGCGGCUGCCACCAGAGGAAGGACAACCACUGGGUCUCAGCCUAGGCCAGGAAACAGAAGUGAGUGUGGUUUGAUGCCA